UGCAGUCGAGCGACAGACGAGGAGCUUGCUCCUCUGACGUUAGCGGCGGACGGGUGAGUAACACGUGGAUAACCUACCUAUAAGACUGGGAUAACUUCGGGAAACCGGAGCUAAUACCGGAUAAUAUAUUGAACCGCAUGGUUCAAUAGUGAAAGACGGUUUUGCUGUCACUUAUAGAUGGAUCCGCGCCGCAUUAGCUAGUUGGUAAGGUAACGGCUUACCAAGGCAACGAUGCGUAGCCGACCUGAGAGGGUGAUCGGCCACACUGGAACUGAGACACGGUCCAGACUCCUACGGGAGGCAGCAGUAGGGAAUCUUCCGCAAUGGGCGAAAGCCUGACGGAGCAACGCCGCGUGAGUGAUGAAGGUCUUCGGAUCGUAAAACUCUGUUAUUAGGGAAGAACAAAUGUGUAAGUAACUAUGCACGUCUUGACGGUACCUAAUCAGAAAGCCACGGCUAACUACGUGCCAGCAGCCGCGGUAAUACGUAGGUGGCAAGCGUUAUCCGGAAUUAUUGGGCGUAAAGCGCGCGUAGGCGGUUUUUUAAGUCUGAUGUGAAAGCCCACGGCUCAACCGUGGAGGGUCAUUGGAAACUGGAAAACUUGAGUGCAGAAGAGGAAAGUGGAAUUCCAUGUGUAGCGGUGAAAUGCGCAGAGAUAUGGAGGAACACCAGUGGCGAAGGCGACUUUCUGGUCUGUAACUGACGCUGAUGUGCGAAAGCGUGGGGAUCAAACAGGAUUAGAUACCCUGGUAGUCCACGCCGUAAACGAUGAGUGCUAAGUGUUAGGGG
rnacentral:rRNA from 1 species